rnacentral:rRNA from 1 species
AACGAACGCUGGCGGCGUGCUUAACACAUGCAAGUCGAACGAAGGGUUUGGUGGAGCUUGCUUCACCAGGCCACUGAGUGGCGGACGGGUGAGUAACGCGUAGGUAACCUGCCCUGAAGCGGGGGAUAGCCCGGGGAAACCCGGAUUAAUACCGCAUAAGCCCACGGAUUGGGAUGUCUGUGAGAAAAGGAGCAAUCCACUUCAGGAUGGGCCUGCGUCCUAUCAGCUAGUUGGUGGGGUAAUGGCCUACCAAGGCGAAGACGGGUAGCCGGUCUGAGAGGAUGAACGGCCACACUGGAACUGAGACACGGUCCAGACUCCUACGGGAGGCAGCAGUGGGGAAUUUUGCGCAAUGGGGGAAAGCCUGACGCAGCAACGCCGCGUGAGGGAUGACGGCCUUCGGGUUGUAAACCUCUUUCAGCAGGGAAGAAGCGAAAGUGACGGUACCUGCAGAAGAAGCACCGGCUAACUACGUGCCAGCCGCCGCCGUAA